rnacentral:rRNA from 1 species
UGAGUGAUCUGCCCUGCACUUCGGGAUAAGCCUGGGAAACUGGGUCUAAUACCGGAUAUACCUCAUUGAUCUCCUGGUUGGUGGGGGAAAGCUUUUGCGGUGUGGGAUGGGCCCGCGGCCUAUCAGCUAGUUGGUGGGGUGAUGGCCCACCAAGGCGACGACGGGUAGCCGGCCUGAGAGGGCGACCGGCCACACUGGGACUGAGACACGGCCCAGACUCCUACGGGAGCAG